AGAGGGAGGAAAAAAAAAAAGUUUAAAACAAAGGGAUCCAUACUGCAUAGGCAAAGCACUCAUGCAUCUAAUCCCUGAUUAUUACUUGGCGUGUCUGAAGCAGAGUAUUUAUUGAAAGUACAGAGAGAAAGCGUGGUCCGCGGGACAGGCUGGCGCGCAGGUAGCUCGGAGCUGCAGGCAGAGACCUGGAGGCAGGCGGCUCUGGGGGAGUAUUUUACCUGUGAGCGCCCUGCCCGGGGUGACAGCCCCGCUCCCGCAGCCUGGACCCGUGCUCCCCCUCCCGAGCCGUGACUCAUGGAAUAAUGUCACCAUUUCACAUCCAAUCCCGACAGAGCCGGCUGCACUUUUCCCUGAGCAAAACGCUUUCUUGCUAAAGACUGAGCCACGAGUGGAUAAUGCAAAAUACAGAGGGCUGGAAAUUGAGUGGGAGCUGCUUGAACUGCUUCAAAACACUAACAACUACUUCAGAGAAAUAAGACUUGACAUAAUGUAUAUGAACUAACAAACAUCUAACACUUGAUGAGAUCCAAGAAGGGAAUGUGAAAAUAGGGAAUCAUAAGAAGUAAAAUUUUAUGGAACUUGCAGUUCAC
rnacentral:lncRNA from 1 species